GUCAAAGUGUCCUGUCUUUCUAAAGGCUACAGUGGAUUGGUGAAUCAAGGAGCCACAUGUUAUCUGAAUGCAGUUCUGCAAACACUUUUCAUGACAGAAGAGUUCAGAAAAGCCAUCAUGAAGUUAAAGGAAAGUGACAUGAAACGUGUUUCUUUUGAACUUAAAAAGUUAUUCAGCUGUUUAGAGUCUAAAAAUGGAUGUGCCAUUACAAAUGGAGUCACAAAUGCUCUAGGCAUUGGAAAUGUUUGUGAACAGCAGGACGCUGCAGAAUAUUAUCAGAUGAUUCUGAGUAGGAUUGACUCUGAACCAGCAACGGUAUUCCAAGGAAUCAAGAAACACUCAACCACCUGUUUACCUGCAAAACAUGUUCCCAUUGAAGAAAUAAUUUCUUUUUUUUCUUUGCCCAUUGCUAUGGACUCUGAUCAAAAUAAAAUUGAUGUA